rnacentral:lncRNA from 1 species
AGUUCCGCAGCUAGCUGCAACAAACAACGUGGGAAUGAGUUACACCUUCGCUCAUACUAAAAGGAAUCGGUUAAAUUUAGCAUAUCGAUUCCCGAGCUUUGUCGGACUUUCAUGCAGGCUGGCUCCCUGAAGCUUCAGCUUUCAAACGCGUCUUCCGAAUGGCACGUAGUCUGACGAACCGACAUAACUCUCGUGAGAUGUUACUUCAACGACACCAUGGGUCUCGCCACCACUUUCCAAACUGUUGGUGCCCGUAAUGACUGUCAGUUGACUGAUAUUUAUACCCGGGACACAAUGCGCCGCAGUGACAAUAUGGAAGACAGUGAUUAUGGACCCUCCACAAAAGGGCCAGCCAUUCAAUCUCAAUGACACUUGGUAGGGAAUUGCACCUUCUUCAGCCUGUGCCCCUCCAACGAUGCGCGAUUCCA